rnacentral:rRNA from 1 species
GUUGUAUGGUUAAGUGACUAAGCGUACACGGUGGAUGCCUUGGCAGUCAGAGGCGAUGAAAGACGUAGUAACUUGCGAUAAGCCCAGAUUAGGUAGUAACAACCAUUUGAGUCUGGGAUUUCUGAAUGGGGAAACCCACGUGCAUAAGCACGUAUCCUUACCUGAAUACAUAGGGUAAGGAGGCGAACCGGGGGAACUGAAACAUCUAAGUACCCCGAGGAAAAGAAAUCAACCGAGAUUCCGAAAGUAGCGGCGAGCGAAAUUGGACUAGCCCUUAAGCUUUACACGCGUUAGACGAACGGUCUGGAAAGUCCGACGAUACAGGGUGAUAGUCCCGUAGUUGACGACGUGUGUUCAGUGAAAUCGAGUAGGGCGGGACACGUGAUAUCCUGUCUGAAUAUGGGGGGACCAUCCUCCAAGGCUAAAUACUACUGACUGACCGAUAGUGAACCAGUACCGUGAGGGAAAGGCGAAAAGAACCCCUGUGAGGGGAGUGAAAUAGAACCUGAAACCGUGUACGUACAAGCAGUAGGAGCAGGCUUUGUCCUGUGACUGCGUACCUUUUGUAUAAUGGGUCAGCGACUUAUAUUCAGUGGCAAGGUUAACCAUCUAGGGGAGCCGUAGGGAAACCGAGUCUUAACUGGGCGUUCAGUCUCUGGAUAUAGACCCGAAACCAGGUGAUCUAGCCAUGGGCAGGUUGAAGGUUGAGUAACAUCAACUGGAGGACCGAACCGACUAAUGUUGAAAAAUUAGCGGAUGACUUGUGGCUAGGGGUGAAAGGCCAAUCAAACCUGGAGAUAGCUGGUUCUCCCCGAAAGCUAUUUAGGUAGCGCCUCGGACGAAUACUACUGGGGGUAGAGCACUGUUAAGGCUAGGGGGUCAUCCCGACUUACCAACCCUUUGCAAACUCCGAAUACCAGUAAGUACUAUCCGGGAGACACACGGCGGGUGCUAACGUCCGUCGUGGAGAGGGAAACAACCCAGACCGCCAGCUAAGGUCCCAAAUUACUACUAAGUGGGAAACGAUGUGGGAAGGCUCAGACAGCCAGGAUGUUGGCUUAGAAGCAGCCAUCAUUUAAAGAAAGCGUAAUAGCUCACUGGUCGAGUCGGCCUGCGCGGAAGAUGUAACGGGGCUAAGUAGUAAACCGAAGCUGCGGCAAUGUGCUUUUGCACAUUGGGUAGGGGAGCGUUCUGUAAGCGGUUGAAGGUGUGUGGUAACGCAUGCUGGACGUAUCAGAAGUGCGAAUGCUGACAUGAGUAACGAUAAAGGGGGUGAAAAACCUCCUCGCCGGAAGACCAAGGGUUCCUGUCCAACGUUAAUCGGGGCAGGGUGAGUCGACCCCUAAGGCGAGGCCGAAAGGCGUAGUCGAUGGGAAACGGGUUAAUAUUCCCGUACUUCUUACAAUUGCGAUGGGGGGACGGAGAAGGCUAGGUGGGCCUGGCGACGGUUGUCCAGGUUCAAGUGCGUAGGCUUAAGAGUUAGGUAAAUCCGGCUCUUUUUAAGGCUGAGACACGACGUCGAGCACCUACGGGUGUGAAGUCAUUGAUGCCAUGCUUCCAGGAAAAGCCUCUAAGCUUCAGAUUGUAAGGAAUCGUACCCCAAACCGACACAGGUGGUCGGGUAGAGAAUACCAAGGCGCUUGAGAGAACUCGGGUGAAGGAACUAGGCAAAAUGGUACCGUAACUUCGGGAGAAGGUACGCUCUCGACGGUGAAGUCCCUUGCGGAUGGAGCUAUUGAGAGUCGCAGAUACCAGGUGGCUGCAACUGUUUAUUAAAAACACAGCACUGUGCAAAAUCGUAAGAUGACGUAUACGGUGUGACGCCUGCCCGGUGCCGGAAGGUUAAUUGAUGGGGUUAGACUUCGGUCGAAGCUCUUGAUCGAAGCCCCGGUAAACGGCGGCCGUAACUAUAACGGUCCUAAGGUAGCGAAAUUCCUUGUCGGGUAAGUUCCGACCUGCACGAAUGGCGUAAUGAUGGCCACGCUGUCUCCACCCGAGACUCAGUGAAAUUGAAAUCGCUGUGAAGAUGCAGUGUACCCGCGGCUAGACGGAAAGACCCCGUGAACCUUUACUACAGCUUGGCACUGAACAUUGACCCUACAUGUGUAGGAUAGGUGGGAGGCUUUGAAGCACGUACGCCAGUAUGUGUGGAGCCGUCCUUGAAAUACCACCCUUGUAGUGUUGAUGUUCUAACGUCGACCCCUAAUCGGGGUUGCGGACAGUGCCUGGUGGGUAGUUUGACUGGGGCGGUCUCCUCCCAAAGAGUAACGGAGGAGCACGAAGGUGGGCUAAUCACGGUUGGACAUCGUGAGGUUAGUGCAAUGGCAUAAGCCCGCUUGACUGCGAGAAUGACAAUUCGAGCAGGUGCGAAAGCAGGUCAUAGUGAUCCGGUGGUUCUGAAUGGAAGGGCCAUCGCUCAACGGAUAAAAGGUACUCCGGGGAUAACAGGCUGAUACCGCCCAAGAGUUCAUAUCGACGGCGGUGUUUGGCACCUCGAUGUCGGCUCAUCACAUCCUGGGGCUGAAGUCGGUCCCAAGGGUAUGGCUGUUCGCCAUUUAAAGUGGUACGCGAGCUGGGUUUAGAACGUCGUGAGACAGUUCGGUCCCUAUCUGCCGUGGGCGUUGGAAGAUUGAAGGGGGCUGCUCCUAGUACGAGAGGACCGGAGUGGACGAACCUCUGGUGUUCGGGUUGUGUCGCCAGACGCAUUGCCCGGUAGCUAAGUUCGGAAUCGAUAACCGCUGAAAGCAUCUAAGCGGGAAGCGAGCCCUGAGAUGAGUCUUCCCUGAUACUUUAAGUAUCCUAAAGGGUUGUCGGAGACUACGACGUUGAUAGGUCAGGUGUGUAAGUGCUGUGAGGCAUUGAGCUAACUGAUACUAAUUGCCCGUGAGGCUUAACCAUACAACACCCAAGGGGUUU